UCAGGUUGCCUCGCUGACCCAUCUUGUCAGUCCCUGGAUCAGCCCAGCACUUCCUCUGAGGCCCCAUCUGGCCUCAUCCAGGCACUCUUGGUAUACAGGUCCCACCCGUCUGUAUUCUUUUUUAGUCCAUUCACUAAUGCACAAUGAGCCAUGGUCUGUGCUAUUUUGUUUUUUGCCUUUUCUGUUUCCUUUUGUAUAAUAAAUGUUUACACGGAAUUGUU
ensembl:lncRNA novel transcript, sense intronic to PTGS1